rnacentral:rRNA from 1 species
UACGAAGGGGGCGAGCGUUGUUCGGAUUUACUGGGCGUAAAGGGUGCGUAGGCGGUCGGGUAAGUCUGGCGUGAAAUCUCCAAGCCUAACUUGGAAACUGCGUUGGAUACUAUCCGGCUCGAGGAAUGGAGGGGAGACUGGAAUACUUGGUGUAGCAGUGAAAUGCGUAGAUAUCAAGUGGAACACCAGUGGCGAAGGCGAGUCUCUGGACAUUUCCUGACGCUGAGGCACGAAAGCCAGGGGAGCAAACGGG